UACAGAGGGUGCAAGCGUUGUUCGGAAUUACUGGGCGUAAAGCGCGUGUAGGCGGCGGCGUUAGUCGGGUGUGAAAUCCCUCAGCUCAACUGAGGAAGUGCAUUCGAUACUGCGUCGCUUGAAUGUCGGAGGGGAUGGCGGAAUUCCCGGUGUAGAGGUGAAAUUCGUAGAUAUCGGGAGGAACACCUGUGGGCGAAGGCGGCCAUCUGGACGACAAUUGACGCUGAGACGCGAAAGCGUGGGUAGCAAACAGG
rnacentral:rRNA from 1 species